AAAAGGAGCCAGAGGGGUGGGAUGAGGUGGACUUGAUCGCUCCCCACGUUUGAUGGAGGAGGAGACGUGGCUCCUGGCACAUGUGUUCCCACCACAAGACAUCUUAAAGUAUAUAUGUGGCUCACAUCGUAUCUACUGCAUGGCCCGGGACCAAGCAGGAGGUGGUGGACCAAAGAGAAGAGAAGUGGCCAGAUGGACCAGCCAGAGAAAGCCAGCUAUGCACCCUAAUCAGUCACCUAGGACGUCCUGCUUCUAAUAAGCCCGCCUUCUGCUUUUCUGUGCCAACGGCCUCCAGUAAGGGCACAAUCGUAGCCUUUCCUGUUUUCCAUUAUAAAGCUUUCACACCUCUCUGCCUGCCUUUGAGUCUCUGCCAAAUGCAAGUGAUGCUGCCGGACUCCCUUGCUAUAGCAAGCUCUGAAGUAACAGCCUUUGCUUUUCUCCUUUGGUUGUUCUUUGUUUAUUACCACAGCUUCAAAGGCAGCAGCAUUCCAUGGAUUUGCCAGGCCAGUCCUCCAAAGGAUCCUGUUGUGGGUGGUGCUGUCAUUGCCCCUCUUUUCCAGAUAUAAAAAUAGAGGCUCUGAGAGGUUUGGCCAUUUGACUAAAGCUCGUAUUGUCACCCAUGCUAUGCAGCCCAGGUCCCAGUUGCAGAAACUGUUUUUUUGUUUUUGUUUUUUAGCCAUACAGGCUAGUUGUGUUUUACCAAUAGGAUGCCACAAAUGCCCAAGAGAAAACCGGACCGAACCGGCUAGAUCCAAGAUGGCCGGCUUUCCUUGCCUCGAUUUAUCUCUGUGUUUGUUUCAAGAGCACCUGGUAUUUGACAGAGAUGCUGUGCAGCUGUGCUUUAAGAGAUACACAAUGGUCACCCGCCCCGAACGGGCUCUGACUUGACCACAGGAAUAUGCCUCCGCAGAUGAGACCUGGAGGUGUCCCGGAGUUACAUCUGCUUCCUUCCACGCUCAGAUCUCUGCGCAAAGAGGGCAUUUCUACUCUGCUAGGCACAAUUCGAGCUGCGUGGAAAGGAGCGUGCGUGACUGUGCGGAAAGGAGCCUGGAGACUACGCAUGCCCACGGCUGCCCUAAAAGCUCCGCCCCUUUCCUAGAGCCCGGAUGAUCUGUCCGCUUCCUAACCCUUAAAAUCCUCUUACUUUCCUCCCUUCGGGGAGAAGAUGCUGUUAGCGCAGAAGCUCCCCUUCUCCUUUCUCUAAACACUCUCAAGCCUGUCUUGCUUGCACCAAAUUCAGUUUUAUUAUUGGCAGCUAGAACCUGAGCCUGAGCGGGAAAGAGCUCCCUGACGGAGCCACGGGAGGCGUCGGUUCAGCUAGGGCCCCAAGGGCGGGCCUUGCGUCUAAUUCAGUAACAGCAUUGCUGGUAAGUAUUGAUACUAAACCCUUGGCAUCAUAUAGUUAGUUUUUUUUUUUUUUUUUUGCGGUACGCGGGCCUCUCACUGUU